UAGAUAGAUAGACAGACGCACAUACAUUUUAUGGACUUUAAGUCUGAAAAUAAAGUUGAAUUGAAUAAUAGUAUUAUUGUCAAUUAAAUAAUGCCCACUGUAUAAAUAAUAAUAUACAGAUAAUGUACAAUAAUAAUAAUGUAUUAUUAUAAUUAUUAUUAUUAGUAGUAUUAGUAGUAAUAGCAGCAGUAGUAGUAGUAUAUUGUGCACAGCAAUAUUAUGAACUCUGGAAAUGAUGCUGCCUUCACGUGGUAUUGGAAUUCUUAUAAAUAUUAGUUUCUUCAUCAAAAAAAAAGAAAAAAAAAUAAUAAAAAGGAAAUUAAUUUAAAAUUGACCUCAAGUCAAAAUCACGAUUUCAAAAGCUGGAGGAAAUUUAAGAUAGCACGUGAAGGCAGCAUUAAUUAAGCAUUAAGACUUUUACUGUGAAGUUCGUUAGUGGGCGCCAAAGCUCUCAUCUCACUAGUUUGCGUAAUUGGGUUCACAGACAGAACAUAACACAAUUAGCCUAGCAAAGAGUUCUUUUUUAUUUUAAAUUUAAAUAAAAAAUACAUUUAAAAAGAAUUAGCAGCAUGUUUUCCGAUAAACAUUAUUUUUUUCUCUCGUGCCAAACCACGCCCCCAGUACGUGACCUUUGCUCAAACUUGCUAUGACUCAACGUCAACGUUCACUUUUUAAUGCGGGAGAAACAACUUGAGAAUAACAGGCGUGUUGUUCAUCAAGCGGCCGAAGAAAAAUCUUUACAGAUUUUACAGAAAAUCUAGAGGCAGCACGUGGGCGAUAAUAAUCCAGACGGAGAAAUAUAUGAUUUUUAUUUACGUUACGUUUUGUUUAUGUUUGAGCGGCAGUCCUCUGUGAGGGACUCCUCAAGAGACGCAUAAAUAAAACGUAACAUAAAUAAUCCAGGCCUGGUCUUCACUCAUCUUGCACUGUUCUCGCUCUUCCUUUUAUUCAUCCGGACCUCCUUUUGUGAGUAACGAGGCAGGACACUGAUUUGAAAGAAAUAGAGGACGAUAUCUCACAGACAACAAAGACAUGUCUAAACUUCGUCAUCAUUUUUGAGGAAACCGUCGUCAUGGAGGACCUACCUGACUUUCCUACUGCUUUCAUGGUACUCUUUGGACUUCUCUAUGCGGUGAACUUUGAGUAUUCAAAAGGACUAAAAUACACA